rnacentral:rRNA from 1 species
CCUGAAAUUAAGCAUAUAAGUAAGUGGUGGAAGAAAAAAUAAACAUGAUUCUUUUAGUAAUGGCGAAUGAACAAAGACAUGGUCAUUUUGAAAAUUGUGGUNUUAGAUCAUGAAUUGUAUUUUCAAAAUGCAUUGCUAACACAACUGCGCAUGUUUGUUUAUUGGAAAGAACAUCACAAAGGGUGACAAUCCCAUGUGUCAUGUGUAUGUUUUGUGUACAGCGUGCAUUAUAUGAAUCACAUUCAUUGACAAUUGAAUGCAAAUAGAAUGGUAAAUUUCAUUUAAUCAUAAAUAUGUUGUUGACAACUUAUAGCAAACAAAUACCAUGAGGGAAAUGUGAAAAGGAUUUUGAAAAGAAAAUUAAAAGAGCUUGCAAUUGSUGAACUGAUAAGCAAACAAAACAUACGUGUGUAUGCAAGAUUGUUGUAAUGCUUAGCAUUUUAUGCAAGGCUAUUGCAAUGAUUUUUUGUAUAGUGAUGCUACCUUUUUUUAGAAUUUGGAAUGUCUUUUUUUGAGUGUGAAUGGAAUUUUGUUUGUUAGCAAAGGAAUGCACUUUUAGAUUCAUUGUUUGAUUUGAUUUAAAAAWGUUUGUGACACAUGUCUUUGUUUUGGUUUCAUGCUUCAACCAAGACAUUGUGUUGAUCCAGUCAGC